rnacentral:tmRNA from 1 species
CCUCGUUUAGAAGGCUUGCCGUACAGCUGUGGUCACGGGGGCUGUACGGGACGUUUCCGUGACUGGGCUUGUCUGCACCAUGUCGGUGUGAGUGCAGGAGCCG